AAUGUAAUCCUGGGAUGCAUAAACAGGGGAAUCCUGAGCUGGGGCUGAGAGGUUAUUUUACCUCUGUAUUUGGCACUGAUGUGACAAUUGCUGAAAUCCUGUGUCCAGUCCUGGUGUCCACAAUUUAGGAACGAUGUUGAUAAAUUGGAGAGGGGUCAGAAAAGAUCCAUAAGAAUGAUUAAAGAAUGAGAAAACAUGCCUUUAGUGACAGAC